AGUGAACGCUGGCGGUAGGCCUAACACAUGCCAGUCGAACGGCAGCACAGUAAGAGCUUGCUCUUACGGGUGGCGAGUGGCGGACGGGUGAGGAAUACAUCGGAAUCUACUUUUUCGUGGGGGAUAACGUAGGGAAACUUACGCUAAUACCGCAUACGACCUACGGGUGAAAGCAGGGGAUCUUCGGACCUUGCGCGAUUGAAUGAGCCGAUGUCGGAUUAGCUAGUUGGCGGGGUAAAGGCCCACCAAGGCGACGAUCCGUAGCUGGUCUGAGAGGAUGAUCAGCCACACUGGAGCUGAGACACGGUCCAGACUCCUACGGGAGGCAGCAGUGGGGAAUAUUGGACAAUGGGCGCAAGCCUGAUCCAGCCAUACCGCGUGGGUGAAGAAGGCCUUCGGGUUGUAAAGCCCUUUUGUUGGGAAAGAAAAGCAGCAGGUUAAUACCCCGCUGUUCUGACGGUACCCAAAGAAUAAGCACCGACUAACUUCGUG
rnacentral:rRNA from 1 species